AGUAUGUGAUGAAAUUGUAACUUCAUGGUCCGUGUUUCUGAUUCAACCGUGAUAAUAGCUGAAGUUCUGAUCUA
rnacentral:snoRNA from 1 species